AUUGAAUUAUCCGUUAUCCGUUAAAACUGAACGAGUAUUGAUAUUUAGUACGUUCACGUAGAUUUUGUUUGGAUUUUUAACGAAACUAGGUAUAUAACAUUAUCAGUUUUAAUGUAACGAGUGCCGUUUAUUCGGCUUGUGAACAGAUUUUCGAUCAGAAUACCCGCGUCGGUCAUCAAUUCCAAAGGUGUUACCACUUAAAGGUGACCGGCCGCGAUUACGUUAAGUCUAUUACGCAUUCU